UAAAGAAAGCGUAAUAGCUCACUCAUCAAAAGAUUAUGCGCCGUAAAUGAUCGGGGCUAAACACAUCACCGAAACUUAGGAUGCGUACAUUUUAGUACGCGUGGUAGGAGAGCGUUCUAUAUGCGCUGAAGCUAAAUGGGUAACCAAUAGUGGAGCGUAUAGAAGUGAGAAUGCUGGCACGAGUAGCCGCAAUGCAGGUGAGAAUCCUGCACACCGAAAGACCAAGGUUUCCGCAGCAAUGCUAAUCAUCUGCGGGUUAGUCGGCCCUAAGGGAAUGGCGAAAGCCGGACUCGAUGGAUACAUGGUUAAUAUUCCAUGACUUAAUACGUAUGCGAUGGAGUGACGGAGGGUUGUACCUCUUGAGUGUUAUUGGAUUCACUUUGUUGCUAUGAGGACGGUACUUCAGGAAAAUCCGGGUACCAUUACUCCGAGUAGAGACAGAAUGAGAAGUUUCUAACUUUUCAAACAAGAGGGAGCACGCUUCCAAGAAAAACUUCUAGCACAAUACGUAAAACCGUACCGCAAAACCGAAACAGGUGGUCAGGUCGAGAAGACCAAGGUGAACGGGUGAUUGCUCCCCAAGGAACUCGGCAAAAAAGCGGGCGUAACUUCGGAAUAAGCCCUGCCGAUUGUGUUUUUACACAAUUGGCCGCAGCGAAUGAUGUCUUGCCGACUGUUUAUCAAAAACACAGCUCCCUGCGAACUCGUAAGAGGAUGUAUAGGGGGUGACUCCUGACCAAUGCCGGAAGGUUAAAUGCGGAAGGUACUUUCUUUUUUGAAAGUGCCGGACUGUAUAAGCCCCGGUGAAUGUCGGCGGUAACUAUAACCGUCCUAAGGUAGCGAAAUACCUCGUCUAGUAAUUUUAGACGUGCACGAAUGGAGUAACGAGUGAGACACUGUCUCGGGGAGGAGCCCGGCGAAAAUGCAAUGCCGGUAAAGAUGCCGGCUACACACAGAAAGACAGAAAGACCCCGUGGAGCUUUACUAUAGCUUCGUAUUGGGGCUGCGAAUUUAAUGCGUAGAAUAGAUGGGAGACUUUGAAGUUCCUCUUCCGGGAGGAAUGGAGUCGUCAGUGAAAUACCAUUCUUUAGAUUUGUAGUUCCUAACCCGUAUGGCAAAACCAUACAGGGACAUUGCGUGGCAGGUAGUUUUUGUGGGGCGCUAUCCUCCCAAAAGGUAACGGAGGAGUUCAAAGGUUCUCUAGGCGCGAAUGGAAACCGUGCCGAUAGUGUAAUGGCAAAAGAGAGCUUGACUGCAAGGGGGACAUCCCGAGCAGAUGCGAAAGCAGGACAUAGUGAACCUCUUGUAUGUCUUAGAUACAGCAAGAGAUCAUCGGAUAAAAGCUACCCCGGGGAUAACAGGCUAGUUCCGUCUAAGAGUUCAUAUCGACGACGGAGU
rnacentral:rRNA from 1 species